AGAGUUUGAUCCUGGCUCAGAGUGAACGCUGGCGGCAGGCCUAACACAUGCAAGUCGAGCGGCAGCGCGGGGGCAACCCUGGCGGCGAGCGGCGGACGGGUGAGGAAUUCGUCGGAAUCUGCCUUUUUGUGGGGGAUAACGUAGGGAAACUUACGCUAAUACCGCAUACGACCUACGGGUGAAAGUGGGGGACCUUCGGGCCUCACGCAGAAAGAUGAGCCGACGACCGAUUAGCUAGUUGGUGGGGUAAAGGCCCACCAAGGCGACGAUCGGUAGCUGGUCUGAGAGGAUGAUCAGCCACACUGGGACUGAGACACGGCCCAGACUCCUACGGGAGGCAGCAGUGGGGAAUAUUGGACAAUGGGCGCAAGCCUGAUCCAGCCAUGCCGCGUGUGUGAAGAAGGCCUUCGGGUUGUAAAGCACUUUUGUUCGGGAAGAAAUCUUGCAGUUUAAUACGCUGCGAGGCUGACGGUACCGGAAGAAUAAGCACCGGCUAACUUCGUGCCAGCCGCCCGGUAAUUC
rnacentral:rRNA from 1 species